rnacentral:rRNA from 1 species
UACAGAGGGUGCGAGCGUUAAUCGGAAUUACUGGGCGUAAAGCGCGCGUAGGCGGUUCGUCACGUCGGGAGUGAAAACUCGGAGCUUAACUCCGAGCCUGCUUCCGAUACGGGCAGACUAGAGGUAGGCAGGGGAGAGCGGAACUCCUGGUGUAGCGGUGGAAUGCGCAGAUAUCAGGAGGAACACCGGUGGCGAAGGCGGAUCUCUGGGCCUUGCCUGACGCUGAGGCGCGAAAGCUAGGGGAGCGAACAGG